rnacentral:rRNA from 1 species
UACGAAGGGGGCUAGCGUUGCUCGGAAUCACUGGGCGUAAAGGGUGCGUAGGCGGGUCUUUAAGUCAGGGGUGAAAUCCUGGAGCUCAACUCCAGAACUGCCUUUGAUACUGAGGAUCUUGAGUUCGGGAGAGGUGAGUGGAACUGCGAGUGUAGAGGUGAAAUUCGUAGAUAUUCGCAAGAACACCAGUGGCGAAGGCGGCUCACUGGCCCGAUACUGACGCUCAUGCACGACAGCGUGGGGAUCAAACAGG